CCGCCUGCCCUGUGACUAUAUGUUUAACGGCCGCGGUAUCUUAACCGUGCGAAGGUAGCGUAAUCACUUGUCUUUUAAAUGAAGACCUGUAUGAAUGGCAUCACGAGGGCUUAACUGUCUCCCCUCUCCAGUCAAUGAAAUUGACCUCCCCGUGCAGAGGCGGGGAUAUCUUUAUAAGACGAGAAGACCCUGUGGAGCUUUAGACCUAAAAUAAACCACGUUUAAGAUACUAAAAUUAAUAGCAAAAACUUAGUGGAUAAUUAUUAAAGUGUCUUUGGUUGGGGCGACCGCGGAGUAAAACACAACCUCCAUGUGGACGGGGAUACUAUCCCUAAAACUCAGAGCCUCCACUCCAAGCAACAGAAAUUCUGACCUAACUGAUCCGGUAUAACCGAUUAACGAACCCAGUUACCCCAGGGAUAACAGCGCAAUCCCCUCUCAGAGCUCAUAUCGACGAGGGGGUUUACGACCUCGAUGUUGGAUCAGGACAUCCUAGUGGUGCAGCCGCUAUUA
rnacentral:rRNA from 1 species